rnacentral:rRNA from 1 species
GGGCCCGCACAAGCGGUGGAGCAUGUGGUUUAAUUCGAUGAUACGCGAGGAACCUUACCAGGGCUUAAAUGGGAGAUGACAGGGGCAGAGACGCCCUUUUCUUCGGACAUCUUUCAAGGUGCUGCAUGGUUGUCGUCAGCUCGUGCCGUGAGGUGUCAGGUUAAGUCCUAUAACGAGCGCAACCCCUACCGUUAGUUGCCAGCGAUUCAAGUCGGGGACUCUAACGGGACUGCCGGUGCAAACCGUGAGGAAGGUGGGGACGACGUCAAAUCAUCACGGCCCUUACGUCCUGGCUACACACGUGCUACAAUGGUCGGUACAGAGGGAAGCUACCCCGCGAGGGGGAGCGGA